rnacentral:rRNA from 1 species
GACGAACGCUGGCGGCGUGCUUAACACAUGCAAGUCGAACGGAAAGGCCCUGCUUUUGUGGGGUGCUCGAGUGGCGAACGGGUGAGUAACACGUGAGUAACCUGCCCUUGACUUUGGGAUAACUUCAGGAAACUGGGGCUAAUCCCGGAUAGGAGCUCCUGCUGCGUGGUGGGGGUUGGAAAGUUUCGGCGGUUGGGGAUGGACUGGCGGCUUAUCAGCUUGUUGGUGGGGUAGUGGCUGACCAAGGCUUUGACGGGUAGCCGGCCUGAGAGGGUGACCGGCCACAAGGGGACUACGAUAGGGCGCAGACUCCUACGGGGGGCAGCGGGGGGGAGUAUUGCACAAUGGGCGGAAGCCUGAUGCAGCGACGCCGCGGGCGUGAAGACGGCCUGCUGGUUGUAAACCGCUUUCGCCUGUGACGAAGCUUUAGUGACGGUAAUGGGUAAAGAAGCACCGGCUAACUACGUG